AGCAGUAUGGUGUAAUACAGCAUACGGGAUUCCACUUGUGUUUUCCCAACAAACUUAAUCCCGAGGUCCUUGUUCGAACCAAGGUACUGCUC